GAUGAACGCUGGCGGCGUGCUUAACACAUGCAAGUCGAACGGAAGUAAAAGAAGGGAAGAGGCAGUUUACUGCCGUGGAACAUUUUUUACUUUAGUGGCGGACGGGUGAGUAACGCGUGGGUAACCUGCCUUAUACAGGGGGAUAACACUUAGAAAUAGGUGCUAAGACCGCAUAAGCGCCCAGGGCCGCAUGGCCCAGGGUGAAAAACUCCGGUGGUAUAAGAUGGGCCCGCGUCUGAUUAGCCAGUUGGCAGGGUAACGGCCUACCAAAGCGACGAUCAGUAGCCGGCCUGAGAGGGUGGACGGCCACAUUGGGACUGAGACACGGCCCAA
rnacentral:rRNA from 1 species